GCUUCAUCUGGUGACCUUCAGUUGAAGGGCUCUCAGACAGCAAGACAUCAGAGACCAACCUCUCCUGGAGCUUUAGUGAGGCAAAGAAGCAAUGUUCUUGUAGAGCUGAGUGGAAGACCCACGUGGCCACGGUUUCCACUGCACGGCCUCCCCCAGAUGUCCUUGGAGCCAGAAGAGGACAUUGGACCCUCUGGAGCUGGAGUUAGACCAUUGUGAGCUGAAAACUGAAGGAUUCUCUCCAAGCAGCAAGUGCUUGUAACUGCCAGUCAUUUCUCCAGCACCGUGUGUGGCGUUUCUGUUGUAUUUCCUACAAAAUGGGAAUGCACCAUGUGACAUGCUUGCCAACCCAGCUAGUCAGGAAACAAGCAGUCUCUCAAGGGUGGCUGAGCGCUGCGUGAUCUGUAUGCAUGUGUGAACCCUCGGAUGAGAGGGAACACACGGAGAGGGGACAGAGCCGGCUAGCAAGGGAUGACGUUCUGCCAGCUCGUGUCACGCUAGCUCCAUAUUCUGUUCAUGUGAGUCUCACUCAGCCUGUACUCCAGUCCCUGGCUCAAGGAAAGUCCAGACUGACGUAGAAAAUCCUUGCUCACCAGCCUUGACCUUGGGAGAAAGCCCCUGACCUCUGAGCGGACAGAAGGCCUGGUGGUCAGCCUGUGGGAGCCCUGGAGCGCGCACUGCUGGAACAGCUCAAAAAAAAAAAACAAAAACAAAACAAAAAAAAACUCUGGAAGCCAAGACUUGUCAGGCCUGAGAAUUAGAACAUGCCUACUAAAUUUCGGCCCACUCUGAGGAAAGGGAGGGGCCGCAAGGAAACCUGGUGGGUGGGGGGGGGGUCUGGAGUUCCCAGGACAGAUGCCCAGGUCCCAGCUUAUAGGCCAUGAUGUGGCAGGGCUGCCAUGUCUGAUUCUUAAACAGACUCUCCCUUGCUUAGCCAAGAGGAAUGAAGUAGUAUUAGAAUUGUAAAAGUCUGUGGCCUUUGACAGAGUAUUUCACUUCUAAGAAUCUCCUCCACAGAGAAGAGUGCACAUUGUUCCCAGUGGAGCCUAUAAAGACAGCAACAGAGCAAGACUUAAAACAAAAUGGCUCUGGGUCUCAAAGUGUUGUGUAUCUGGACAAUGAACUGUCCAUCUUUAAACAAAUAAGCCUCACACGCACUGCAGUGGUGGCAGCUCCAAAUGUGUUAGGUUUAAAAAAAUAAAACAA